UCUCCGUUGGUGAACCAGCGGAGGGAUCAUUACAGAGUUGCAAAACUCCCAAACCAUUGUGAACGUUACCUAUCCCGUUGCUUCGGCGGGCGGCCCGGGCCCCGCGCCCGGCGCCCCCCGGCCCCCCGUGGGCGCCCGCCGGAGGUAAACCAAGCCCUUGAAUUGCAUGGCCUCUCUGAGUCUUCUGUACUGAAUAAGUCAAAACUUUCAACAACGGAUCUCUUGGUUCUG
rnacentral:misc_RNA from 1 species